UACGGGGGGAGCAAGCGUUGUUCGGAUUUACUGGGCGUAAAGGGCGCGUAGGCGGCGUGACAAGUCACUUGUGAAAUCUCCGGGCUUAACCCGGAGCGGCCAAGUGAUACUGUCGUGCUAGAGUGCGGAAGGGGCUACUGGAAUUCUCGGUGUAGCGGUGAAAUGCGUAGAUAUCGAGAGGAACACCUGCGGCGAAGGCGGGUAGCUGGGCCGACACGUGACGCUGAGGCGCGAAAGCCAGGGGAGCGAACGGG
rnacentral:rRNA from 1 species